rnacentral:rRNA from 1 species
CACGUAGGGUGCAAGCGUUGUCCGGAAUCAUUGGGCGUAAAGAGCUCGUAGGCGGCUUAGUAAGUCGGGUGUGAAAACUCUAGGCUCAACCUAGAGACGCCACCCGAUACUGCUAUAGCUAGAAUCCAGUAGGGGAGUGUGGAAUUCCCAGUGUAGCGGUGAAAUGCGCAGAUAUUGGGAGGAACACCAGCGGCGAAGGCGGCACUCUGGGCUGGUAUUGACGCUGAGGAGCGAAAGCGUGGGGAGCGAACAGG